AAUUCUCUGAGAUGUUUGCAAGCGGGCCCGUCCCCUGAGCCGAUAAUUAAUACCAAACAGAGUGUGACGCUCUGUAACCUGUGCGCAAGCUCGGUCCGUCCGAGAAGCCUGAUGGUUACGACGGCAUACUCACCUUGAACCAUGGGUUCAAGGGUUACAGCCUGCGGCGGCAUCUCGGAGAUCCC
rfam:Triticum urartu cultivar G1812 contig385511, whole genome shotgun sequence.